rnacentral:lncRNA from 1 species
CGCCUGCGGGCGCUCCUCCACCUCCUUUCCACUGGACGUUUCUUAUCUCUGUGUCUCUCCCUCGAAGUCUUGUCUCCCUCUCUAUCUCCCUUUCUCUCUGUGUCUUUGCCGGUUUCUAUCUCCCUUUCUAUCUCUAUCUGGGUGUCUGUCUCUGCCUCUCUUGGUCUUCGAUUUCUCUUUCUCUUUUUUUGGUCUCUGUAUCUAUCUCUGUACCCCUGCCUCUCUGUUUUCCUCUUUCUUGCUCUCUCGCAUUCUCCCUGCUUCUGUCUAUUACUCUCUGUAUCUCUCUGACUUUGUGUCUAUUUCUCUCUCUGACUUGCUGUGUCUCUUCCUCUCUGUCUCUAAUAUCUCUGUCCCUGGCUCUUCCUCUCUGUGGCUUUGUGUCUCAGUCUUUCUUCUCUCUAUCUCUGUCUCUCUUUGCCACUCUGUAUCCCUCUCUGUCUCACACAUUCUUUGUUAUGUCUUUCAUUCUCUUUCUCCUCUCCUCUCUUUCACAUUCUCUGUAUCUUCCCUCCUUCCCAUCCUUUGUGUCCGUCUCUGUCUUUCUCUUUUCCCCCUCACUCUUUCUAUUUCUGCCUUUCUCUUUCUCUGUGUCCCUCUCCUUCCCCUUUCCCACCAUUGAAAUCUUAACAGACUUUGACCCAUCUCCAGCUGCACAGACAGCUCUGUCCUAAGGGAAACAGUUUAUACCAAACUUGGCUUCUGGCCACCUUGAGCUCACUGUCUGGGAAAGAGUAUGACCCCCAACAAAGACCCUGUAGCACAUGAUGACCUAGGAUCAGGGGGUAGAGUAGCUCAACAACCCUGCCACAACCCACCAACCAAAACCCGAAAUAGCAGGCAGGAGGAGAUUUGUGUGAGAGGAGCAUGUAGGGAAAACAAUUAUGUUACAGGGAUAUUUUACAGUUUUAGGCUUUUCUUUGUAAAGAGUGAUGGAGUUUAUUGCAUCCAGUUUACUCUUAUUUAUUUAUUCAUUUUUAAACUCUUACCUUCAAUCUUAG